AACCCUAUAAAUAAGACUUUUUUGAAAAACCUCUCCAAACCAUAAGGCUGGGGGCAGAAAGCUAACACACAGCAAGGAGGUAGCACCCACUGAAGGAAAAUAGCUUUUGUGUAUCCUUGUGAAAGUUUCCUUUGAUUUGACAUGAAUUACGAGUCCAUUGGAAAUAACAUGUCAUGCAUGCACAGUUCACUAGGCACAGGGCUUUUUACUACACUAACAGUGUGUUUAAUUAAGGGAGGAUUCAUAUUGCAUGGCGACCAAGCUUAGCUAGACAGAGAAAAGUGUUAUGAGAAGAAAGGAUCCCUGGGAAAUGUUACCUUCCUUAACUGUGUGGCUCCUAAGAUUUUUAAGGAUGUGGCUCUCAGGUGCUCCUAAAGGAAAUAUACUGCCGGUCCCCAAAGAAUUUACAAUCAAACCAUACAAGCAGCGUAUGAGGGAGAACGCAGGAGGCGGCAAUCAAAAUGUAUACAAGAUAGAAUUUUCAGAAUCACUCACUGGCAGCCUGACUUCCACAGAAGUCCAUGGAAGUUUAAGUACCUUUCAAGACCCUGCCCAUAACGUUUAUGUAUAUUAUAUUCAUGUUGAUAUACUUAAAUUUCUCUACUGCCUCAAACCUGUCCAUUCUCAACUGCCUAAUAUUUUGCAGGCAUUAAGGCAGAGAUGUGUUUUGAGGAGAAAGGGCAAGGUCCUUACAGAUCAAACAGCGAUAAUAUCUAUAGCGGUUUUAUGAUGGCAGCAGCUGUCCAUUUGGGAUGAUGAUGAGCACACCAAAUAUUAUUCCAAAUAUUGUGAGGCAAGUCUGUAUUUUAAUGUAGGAGUCCAUGGGUGAAAUACUAGUGACGUGGUUUUCUGGGCCAUCUAUCAUUAUUAAUUCUUUCAUUUGUAGGAGAAAGAAUGCCAAAUGUGAGAACUUAGGGCUUCUAUUUACUUUCUGGCUUGAAUAUCUAGAGGGAAAAUAGAUGAAUGGAUUCUGCGAACUUUUCAGUUUUGUGUUCUCUAUGCUGUGUAUGUGUGUUAAGAAUGCUGCUUGUUAACAGCAACAUUUUGUUUACACAAUCAUAAUAAAAGACAAAAUGGCUACCAUUGUAAGACUUCCAAGUACAAUUUUAGCUGAAGACAUAGCUUUGAAAAUUUAUCAUUUUUAUGUUUCUCAAUUACAUCAGUGACGAGGCUUCACUUGACAAGAUAGAGUCAUUCAUUUAUUCUCUUUGCAAUGGCUUGCCCCUACAGGAUCCAGACUGUGCAAGGCCACUAGUUGGCACCAGCCAAGGACUGGUCUUGUGACACCAUGUCAAUCUCAGUAAGUCACAGACGAGACAUUCAAUUCUCUAUAGCAGGUUGCUGUAUAGCUGUUUUCAAAAACAAUUAGUUAAUGAAAGAAGGAUCCAAAACACUGACUAAGGCUGAGCACAAAGAAUCCUUAACAUUUUCCUUGUGACCCAUUCUUAAUGAAAAAGAGAAAGUGAUAAAGAUGAGACUGCAAAGGAUCCUGUUUACAGGAUCUUGUCAAAAGAACUGAUGAAAAUUAAAUAAGGCUCGUUUUAGUUGCUACUGCCUUCAAUUAAUGAAGGAACCACUUCCAGUCAUAAUAAUUACCAUAUGUGCACUGUGCUUUACCUCUGGGCAUGUUAAUUCCACACAUAAGAGGAUACUGCUAUUAGGCUGCACUAGAACACAUUGAUGUCACAAUAGAAAUGCUCCCACUGUAAUAUUCUGUUACACAAACUGAUUUGGAUGAUAGAGAAACAGGAGUCAGCACUGACUAACAGACAACUGUCUGGUUGUCAUUCCUCUCUCUGUGCUCAAACACAAAAAUAGUAUUGCAACAGAAGGAAAACAACAGAUCGCUUAGCUGUUCAGCAGACAAAGCCUUCACAGUCUUGAGAGACAGACGCUGUCUCCCAGAUAGUUGCAACACUGUUCUGGCAGGGAAACCGAGGGACUGCAACUCUCAGUCUCACAAUGAGCCAGUGGAAGAGCCAAGUAAAGAUCCCAGGAGACCUGAAUCCCAACCCCGCUAUCAAGUCAUCAUACCAUUUGGAGGACUGAUCUACUCCUACAGAAGACUCCUGAUAACUUUCCUGGAAAUUGGAAAAGUCCUUGUUUCCUAUUAUUAAACUAGCAGUAAUGGUUCAUAACAUUUAAAACUACCAGUCCCUAUUGACUUAAACAGGGCCAGGAGUUCAACCAUGAAUCUUUAAAAUGCUAAGAAGAAUGCACAUUUUAGGGAAUAGUAGGGUAACAGGACUGAAGUUCUCUGUUUACUCUUGAUCUACAAAGAAAAAGUUUUAUGGAGUGCUCUUUCCAAGUUGAAGGCAUGAUGAUUAUUUUCUGCUGGAAAACAUUCUGGCUCGUUUACAG